CUACACGGGUUUCUAAUCCUGUUUGCUACCCACGCUUUCGAGCCUCAGUGUCAGUAUGAUGCCAGGAAGCUGCCUUCGCCAUCGGUAUUCCUCCAGAUCUCUACGCAUUUCACCGCUACACCUGGAAUUCUACUUCCCUCUCACCUACUCUAGCUUAACAGUAUCAGAUGCAGUUCCCAGGUUAAGCCCGGGGAUUUCACAUCUGACUUAUCAAGCCACCUACGCUCGCUUUACGCCCAGUAAUUCCGAUUAACGCUUGCACCCUCUGUAUUACCGCGGCUGCUGGCAC
rnacentral:rRNA from 1 species